rnacentral:rRNA from 1 species
CGUGCUUAACACAUGCAAGUCGAACGAUGAUCUCCAGCUUGCUGGGGGGAUUAGUGGCGAACGGGUGAGUAACACGUGAGUAACCUGCCCUUGACUCUGGGAUAAGCCUGGGAAACUGGGUCUAAUACCGGAUAUGACCAUUCCGCGCAUGCGGUGGUGGUGGAAAGCUUUUGCGGUUUUGGAUGGACUCGCGGCCUAUCAGCUUGUUGGUGGGGUAAUGGCCUACCAAGGCGACGACGGGUAGCCGGCCUGAGAGGGUGACCGGCCACACUGGGACUGAGACACGGCCCAGACUCCUACGGGAGGCAGCAGUGGGGAAUAUUGCACAAUGGGCGCAAGCCUGAUGCAGCGACGCCGCGUGAGGGAUGACGGCCUUCGGGUUGUAAACCUCUUUCAGUAGGGAAGAAGCGAAAGUGACGGUACCUGCAGAAGAAGCGCCGGCUAACUACGUGCCAGCAGCCGCGGUAAUACGUAGGGCGCAAGCGUUAUCCGGAAUUAUUGGGCGUAAAGAGCUCGUAGGCGGUUUGUCGCGUCUGCUGUGAAAGACCGGGGCUCAACUCCGGUUCUGCAGUGGGUACGGGCAGACUAGAGUGAUGUAGGGGAGACUGGAAUUCCUGGUGUAGCGGUGAAAUGCGCAGAUAUCAGGAGGAACACCGAUGGCGAAGGCAGGUCUCUGGGCAUUAACUGACGCUGAGGAGCGAAAGCAUGGGGAGCGAACAGGAUUAGAUACCCUGGUAGUCCAUGCCGUAAACGUUGGGCACUAGGUGUG